GCCCAGACUCCUACGGGAGGCAGCAGUGGGGAAUAUUGCACAAUGGGGGAAACCCUGAUGCAGCGACGCCGCGUGAGCGAUGAAGUAUUUCGGUAUGUAAAGCUCUAUCAGCAGGGAAGAAGAUGACGGUACCUGACUAAGAAGCCCCGGCUAACUACGUGCCAGCAGCCGCGGUAAUACGUAGGGGGCAAGCGUUAUCCGGAUUUACUGGGUGUAAAGGGAGCGUAGACGGCGAUGCAAGCCAGAUGUGAAAGCCCGGGGCUCAACCCCGGGACUGCAUUUGGAACUGUGUGGCUGGAGUGUCGGAGAGGCAGGCGGAGUUCCUAGUGUAGCGGUGAAAUGCGUAGAUAUUAGGAAGAACACCAGUGGCGAAGGCGGCUUGCUGGACAGUAACUGACGUUGAGGCUCGAAAGCGUGGGGAGCAAACAGGAUUAGAUACCCCUGUAC
rnacentral:rRNA from 1 species